AGCGAACGCUGGCGGCAGGCUUAACACAUGCAAGUCGAGCGGGCGUAGCAAUACGUCAGCGGCAGACGGGUGAGUAACGCGUGGGAACAUACCUUUUGGUUCGGAACAACUGAGGGAAACUUCAGCUAAUACCGGAUAAGCCCUUACGGGGAAAGAUUUAUCGCCGAAAGAUUGGCCCGCGUCUGAUUAGCUUGUUGGUGAGGUAACGGCUCACCAAGGCGACGAUCAGUAGCUGGCUGAGAGGAUGAUCAGCCACAUUGGGACUGAGACACGGCCCAAACUCCUACGGGAGGCAGCAGUGGGGAAUAUUGGACAAUGGGCGCAAGCCUGAUCCAGCCAUGCCGCGUGAGUGAUG
rnacentral:rRNA from 1 species